rnacentral:rRNA from 1 species
GUGGGGAAUAUUGGACAAUGGGCGAAAGCCUGAUCCAGCCAUGCCGCGUGUGUGAAGAAGGUCUUCGGAUUGUAAAGCACUUUAAGUUGGGAGGAAGGGCAGUAAGUUAAUACCUUGCUGUUUUGACGUUACCAACAGAAUAAGCACCGGCUAACUUCGUGCCAGCAGCCGCGGUAAUACGAAGGGUGCAAGCGUUAAUCGGAAUUACUGGGCGUAAAGCGCGCGUAGGUGGUUCAGCAAGUUGGAGGUGAAAUCCCCGGGCUCAACCUGGGAACUGCCUCCAAAACUGCAUGACUAGAGUACGGUAGAGGGUAGUGGAAUUUUCUGUGUAGCGGUGAAAUGCGUAGAUAUAGGAAGGAACACCAGUGGCGAAGGCGACUACCUGGACUGAUACUGACACUGAGGUGCGAAAGCGUGGGGAGCAAACAGGAUUAGAAACCCCUGUAGUCC